rnacentral:rRNA from 1 species
UACGAAGGGGGCUAGCGUUGCUCGGAAUUACUGGGCGUAAAGCGCACGUAGGCGGGUCAUUAAGUCGGGGGUGAAAUCCUGGAGCUCAACUCCAGAACUGCCUCCGAAACUGAUGAUCUUGAGUUCGGGAGAGGUGAGUGGAACUGCGAGUGUAGAGGUGAAAUUCGUAGAUAUUCGCAAGAACACCAGUGGCGAAGGCGGCUCACUGGCCCGAUACUGACGCUGAUGCGCGAAAGCGUGGGGAGCAAACGGG